UAUUCACUUGGCUUUUAAUGUUUUGGUACUAUAAAGGGUUGCAGCUUUAUUUGUUAAUAACUGUUGUUUAUUUCUGUUAAGGACGACGAUUCAACAUGAAUUUAGCGUUUUGAUCACUAGAGUUCGAUAAGUGAGUAUAGCAAGGAAUAGCACCAGCCAAGCACCAAGCUUGAGUUUUUACCAAAGACUUCUAGAACUUUGGUUUGAGAACUUAUCUACAGUUAGCUCUUUGCUUGAUGUAGAAGAUAUCUUCCCAAAUUUUGGGUCAUACUUUCUUAAAUUGCAGCAAGAACAAGUCUUCGACAAUGAAGCGCCAGUCGGAGUUUCACAGGGAGAGAGAACCAGAACGGUUGUGUACUGUUGGAAAGAAAAUGGUUGUGGAAUUGUGCGGGGGAGAAGAGGUAAAGAUCAGCUGGGAACCUAUUAAGCAAGAAGAGGAGCAUUUAGAAGAUGAUUGCUCAGAAAUACGGUAAGCUUUAGAAAAUAAACUUUGUUUCAUCUAGAGGGGAAGUUUGUUUCUCCUUUUCCUUUAUCUCAUAAAGUAGAGUAGAGUAGUUGAUGUUUUUGUAUAAGAUUUGGUUUGGAUUAAUAUUUGUAAAAUUUGAUAUGUUUUAUGGAUUUUCUAUAAAAAAUAUAUAUUUAAAUUUA